rnacentral:rRNA from 1 species
CACGUAGGGCGCGAGCGUUGUCCGGAAUUAUUGGGCGUAAAGAGCUCGUAGGCGGCCUGUUGCGUCCGCUGUGAAAGCCCGGGGCUUAACCCCGGGUCGGCAGUGGAUACGGGCAGGCUAGAGGUAGGUAGGGGAGAAUGGAAUUCCCGGUGUAGCGGUGAAAUGCGUAGAGAUGUGGAGGAACACCAGUGGCGAAGGCGACUCUUUGGCCUAUAACUGACGCUGAGGCGCGAAAGCGUGGGGAGCAAACAGG